UUUUUUUCUUCUUCUUUCUCAUCUCUCUCUGCUCCUCCUCUGAAAACACCCCCCUCCACUUCUCUCCUUGAUUUCAUCUACUUAGGGUGUGAUUCCGAACAAAACCCAAAACUUAAAGUUGUUAUACGGAAUGCGGGCUUCCUAUCCAUCCGAGAAAAAUCAUGAUCGGACCUCGUGGGCUACGGUUGACUUGGUCAAAGGGUCGGGUUUUGCUCAAAACCCUUGAGGUAGGGAUUUCUUACUCUUGUUAUGCGUUUAUACGGUGUUUAUGUAUCUAGAUUGUGCCUUGUUUCGUUGUUUGAGCUUGUUUCUUCCAUUUCCGAGAAUCUGCAGAACAGGGUCUUCGUUUUUGGGGUUUUACCCCUUCUUAAGCUCAAAAUUGAAUUUUGGUUCCUUCGUAUGAAAUAGAGUAGACUUAAAGCCCGUUCUAAUGCCGCUAGAAUCACUCAAAACCGUUGAGAAUUGAAUUAAUGGUGGAUUUUAGAAGUUUGGUCUCGAAUCUGUCUCGGUUUCUGCUCGUUUUUGGUUUGCGCCCAAUUGCGAAUGGCUGUAGCUUUCUUGUCUGAUAUCCGAUUCAUGCAAACUUUAUAUCGAUUUCGAGGUCUUGAAGUCAGCUUUGUAUUGCCAUUGGAAUUGCCUUAAAACUCUUAGUACACCGAAAGUUAUGAUCGUUUGAGUGGAGGUGUGUCAAUCUGUCACGUUUAUGCGUGACAGAUUCGUAUUGCUUCGAUAAAUGCUGUUUAACCAUCCUUAGAGUGCAGAUUUGACUAGGGUUCCUUCAUACCUUUUAAGCUUCGUUCACUCACACAACUUUUGGGACUGGAAUCAUUCAAAAGUAUUAAGAACUCAAUUUAUAGUGAUUUUUAGAAGAUUGCCCUGUAAUCUGGAAAUCUGGGCAGCGUACAGAGCUUCGUUUUUCAUCGUUUGCUAUGGUUAAACGAUGCUAUUGGUUAUGGGUCCUUAUGGGUUUAAAAGAUUGGUAAGUUGGUGAACUUUUGGCGUUAGAAUCAUUGAAAAAUAUUGGGUAUGAAAUUUUUAAUGAAUUGUCGAACACUGAUUGCUCUCUAGGACAGUUUUGGUCCGUUGAUUCUCGUUCGUCUGUUUUGAUCUGCAAGAUGGGAUCUGUACUUCUCAUACUCCUCGAAGCCGUUAAGAUGGAAUCUGUACUCCUCGUACCAAAGCCGUACUCGAUGUGUGCAUAUGGGAUAGUGUACUUGGAUAGCUUUUGUAGCUGUUUUCGAUCCAGCAAGUGCCCUUCCAACAUUUCAGAAUCCAUUCUCUCUCUCGCUCUCGGAAGGUGAACAGUGAGUCAUUGACUACCCAAUCUCUAGUACUUUAUGUGUUAGUAGCUCGUAUUUAACUUGGUGGAUACCUCUAACCUGGUUUUAUGCCAAACCUGAGGUGUAACAAAGCCAGGCUAAAUAUUGAGUUUGUUUUUAGUUAGUAUAGUUAGUUUUA